rnacentral:tRNA from 2 species
AUAUAUAUAGUAUAAUCAAAUUACAUUUAACUUCCAAUUAAAAAAUUUUAAUAAAAUAUAUAUA